UAAUAUCCACCCGGCACAGCCAGAAGAGGACUGGCCACCCCUCAUAGCCUGGUUCCUCUCUAGGGUUCUUCCUAGGUUUUGGCCUUUCUAGGGAGUUUUCCUAGCCACCGUGCUUCUACACCUGCAUUGCUUGCUGUUUGGGGUUUUAGGCUGGGUUUCUGUACAGCACUUUGAGAUAUCAGCUGAUGUAAGAAGGGCUAUAUAAAUAAAUUUGAUUUGAUAUAGCCUCGUUUUUGUUAUUUUAUUUUCUAUUUUUUAGUAAAGAUUUCACGGUUAGGUCAACUACACCUGUUGUAUUCAGCGCAUGUGACAAAUACAUUUUUAUUUGGUUAACUUCACAAGCCUACUAUGGCCUUGUAGAGUGAAGGAGAAGAACUCUUCAACCCAGAUUAGAACCCAGAUUAGAGGAACGAUGGGUGUCCCAUCAUUUAUUGUGUGCAUGUGUGUGCAUGCGUGUAAGCGUGUGUGUCUGCACGCUCGCCUGGAAAGAGUUGAGCCAUCGGUGGUCUUGUACAGUCAAAAUAAUUAUGGGCUGAAAACAACCCAAUUUGGGUUAUUUGGUAUAGUGCCAGUUGGGUUGUGUGAAUAAUCCAACAUGUUGGGUUGUUGAGAGUAUUAAUGACAAUUUUAAAAGCUUCUAUUAAAAUCUAUAUACAUCAGAAUCAAACAACAUUUGGACUGAUCCUAGAGCCUUCUUAGACUCAAUCCUGAAGCAAUUAUCAGCAGAAAAAAUAUUAGACACUCAAAAUAUUUGUGCGGAGAAAAGCACCAAAUAUGGCUUCCCCAUAGAAUUUUGUUUAUCCUUCUGGGACAAAGUAGCGACCCUAUUUACUCAAAUGACAACACACGUCACUCAAUUCAACGCAUCCUAGUUCUAUGUAUCAAACAUUUAUCUCAGUUAUAUUAAAACCAGGAAGAUCUUGAGAGUCCCCUGCAGAUUACAGACCCUUCAGUUUAAUAAAUAGCGACAAUAAAAUAACAAAACUCAUAAACAGAAUGUCAAAAGUAUUACCAGACUUGAUUCAUAUUAAAUAGAACAUGGUUUAUUAAAAAUAGACACAAACAAAUAUAAGUUUCAGUAUAAUACAUUAUACUAAAAACAAGUUGUAGACGUAUUUAAAAGGGCUGUUGAUGCAGAAAAGCCUUUUGAUCAUCUUGAAUGUUUUUUUUUCUCCAAAUUUGGAAGCCUUCAACUUUCCAGCCAAAAUAAUACAUUUCAUAAAACUAUACGUUUUGGAUUUAUUCCUUUUUGCGACAGUGUGCGGGUCCUACGCACCUGGAACAAACACUAUUCAGUAGUAAGGGCCUUAUCAUUUAAAAAUAAUCUAUAAAUAUCCAAAAGCAAAUAUUCUCACAAAUAAUACAUUAUGUGAUGAAUCUGCUUUAGAAAGGGGCACAAGACAGGGAUGUUCUCUCCCCUCUCCUGUUUGCACUGGCAAUUGAACCGCUUUCAGAAUUAACCCUGGUUCAAUUCCAGGCUGCAUCACAACUGGCAGUGAUUGGGAGUCCCAUAGGGCGGCGCACAAUUGGACCAGCAUCGUCCGGAUUAGGGUUUGGCCGUCAUUGUAAAUAAGAAUUUGUUCUUAACAUCUUUGGGAUAGGGGGCGGUAUUUUGAUACUCAGGCCCAGAAGCUAGGAUAUGCAUAUAAUUGGUAGAUUUUAAUCGAAAAAUCUGAUAAUCGCAUUGUUUGCUUUCGCCAUAAAGCCUUUUUGAAAUCUGACACGGCGGCUGGAUUAACAACAAGUUAAGCUUUAUUUUGAUGUAUUGCACUUGUGAUUUCAUGAAAGUUUAAUAUUUAUAGUAAUUUAAUUUGAAUUUGGCUAGCAUCCCUAGCAUCCCACUAAUCCGCAAGAAGUUAACUGGCUUGCCUAGUUAAAUUAAAAAAAUAAACAUAACAAGUAUCAGUAAACAUACACUUAAACUUAUUUGCUGAUGAUCUUCUGAUGUACCUGACUAAUAUUGAGAACUCAAUGCCCCCCUUGUGAAGUUAUGAAAUUGUCCAAGGUGACAUUUCUCCCAUUGCCAACCUAAGGUCUCUGACACUCGCUCACCUUAUAAGGGCACAAGAGAGAGAAUAAAGUAGACGUCAUCGGUCAAAAUCGUGAUUUAUGACCCUAUGUCCGGAUGGCGCGUACAUGCCCAAAUAAGUGCAUCCGGUCAGGACAUCCUGGCGGGAAGGUGUCACGUGGUUAGGGCCAUAUAGUUGCAUCCUGUCUGUCACGUGUUAGAGUGUGUGUUAUUUUAUAUCUAUAUUGCAUCUAUUCCUUUGAAGUUGUCAUGAGGAUUGAUGUGUAGGGACCUCGUUGAACUGGGGGGUUGUGUUUGAACAUUUUAAAGAGGAUGGCCCCACACCCCACCUAUUUUAAUGCUCUUAGGGUUGUUGUCUAUAAAGUAGGAAUGUCCGGGGGGGAUUGUGUUGGAGGCAGACGACUUAUAAAUAAGACCCAGAACAACACAUGCGGCCCCAGAACACUAAACAAGAUUUUAAAAAUAAAUAUGGAUUUUGGUAAAGCAGUGAUGACCGUAACAACGGAAGCAGGACCGCAGCUGAAACAUAGAGAGAAGGCCCAGUAUAAAGCAACAAUAUACGAUGCGCCAAAAAAGCGGUUUCUAUGUGUGUAUAGAACCCAAAUACCGCCCGCAACUGCACUGAAAGAUCAAGUGAUGAUGUCUAAUGGACAGCACUGGGGGUAUCAGUUUGAUUACCCGGCCCGUAGAGGGAAACUCUAUACCGUAGCCAAAGGUAGAGAAUAUACAGACCCGACUUUAGGAGUGGACUACGGGGUUGAAGACUGGUCGGUUUUUCACAAGGUUGUGUGUCCCGAACUGAGAGUUAUCACAAAGGGGUAUAGCUUGUUCACGGGCUACGAGACCUGUUGGGAAGGUACCCCAGACUCCUCAGGAAGAGUAUUUCACAGGGUGAAAAUACAGAGAAAGAAUGGACUUCCUUGUGGAUGCGUGGAGUUCUAUAUCAGCAACGAGGAAACCCGCAACCAAAACAUUCGUGAUGGUGGCCUGACUGGGGAUUUCAGGUUGCGCAUGCUUAUUCCUUUAAAAAGUUGGGAUCUAAUGGAAUUGAGAAUGUUAGAGUUGUUGGACGUUCUUUUUGUACAGAGCCAACAGUGGCAGAGCAUUGCUCGGCUAAGGAAGUGCAUAAUAUAUACGAAUCCUGAGGAUUAUGAUUCAAAGGAACCCCAAGAAGGGUCAUCCUCAGAAGGGUCAGCCCCCGAAGAAAAGUAAGUACACGGCUGCGUUAACCAAAGGACUGGUUCAACAAUAAAAGGAGGUCCCUUAAAGCCUCCGGUUCUUUAUUUCAGCAUAUACCAUGGAUAUUCCUACAACAUACCAGGACUCCAAUAAGUCAUGGGGGCCAGACCCUAAGGACUCUAUGCCUCGCAGCCAACCAUUCUACUCCCCCCAGCCAAGACCCCCCACACCCCCUACAUGUACACAGCCUGAGGAUGUGUUUGAUGGGGUGGUCAGUACUAUUUUUGUGGACACCAUCAAGGCCUCUGUAGCCACACUUUUAAACGUGGUGAUUGAAGAGUAUAUACGUGAAAAAUGCAUCGGUUGUGAGAUCAAUCACCCCAGCCAGCGCCGGCAUCCGUGUUUAUACUACUUCUUCAACCAUUUUGAGGAGCUGGUGAAAAGACUGUGGUCCUGCAGGUUUAUACCUGCGCUGGUCAGAGUCUAUGGGUCUUGUGCCGUCUAUUCCCAAAGUUUACGGGGCAACCGAGGCUUUCCUACAUGAACUGAAGGAGGCGAUCUACAUCCACGAGAAACUCAAAGAAAUCCGACACACCCUGGUGGACGACAACAAAUACAGGGAAGCUGUGGUGGAUGAUCUGAUGACUUUCUGGCUCAACAAAACCCAAGAGAACGAGUGACAAUACCUAUUUGUUAUUUAGAUGUAAAGCAAUGGGGAACUAUAUACAUACGAUACGAGAAUAAAUACGUUUUUCUUUUGAGAGAACUUACAAAUGUGAUGCAUCAAAUUAUUGAAAAUAAAGUGAACAAUGUAUCGUUCUACACAACCCAUAAUACAUGGGCUAAUGUAGAGCGUGUGCUAAAAAUGGAGCAAAUCAUGAAUCAUGUACGACAUACGGGCGAGAGUAUACAAUGGACACAACUGGUCUCCCGUCUUGUGGAUGAUUCUGAAGAACUAGAAACAACCUUGUCUAAGAUUUUAUUUUAUUUGUUUGAAACACCGUUUAAUUGUACCAUGUAUCAUAUUUGUUGUUUAUAUACUUAUAUAGCGGAUGUGUGUGUUUUAAAAAUUCAGCGACACAAGCCUGUAAAUCUAAACCAAAUAUACAGGGUGUUGCAUGCUUGGAUUGUUGAGAAAACGAGGACAAGUUUCCUGCAACGAAUGCUGAAUUGCCUGUAUACGUAAUACUUGAUGUUUGCAAAAAUAAAAAUACAAAAUGAAAAUGAAAUGUUGUCGUUAUUUGAAAGUGGCUCAUUAACGUUAUUGUACCUCAGAGAGGUAGGAAGGAUGGCGGGGCAGAUGUUGAAAAACGUGUAUUACACCCCCUCUAACCCUGGGUCUUAUGGGGGUAAGGAGCGUUUACAGAGAGCUAUAGCCGAAGAAACAACAAUUUCCAAGAAAUAGAGUUUUUUCGACUCAUCCCUUGUCCCAGUUUCAGG
rnacentral:lncRNA from 1 species